AUUGAACGCUGGCGGCAGGCCUAACACCUGCAAGUCGAACGAGUGGCGGACGGGUGAGUAAUGUCUGGGACACUGCCUGAUGGGGGGGGAUAACUACUGGAAACGGUAGCUACUACCGCAUACCAUCAGAUGUGCCCAGAUGGGAUUAGCUGGUUGGUGGGGUAACGGCUCACCAAGGCGACGAUCACUAGCUGGUCUGAGAGGAUGACCAGCCACACUGGACAUGAAACACGGUCCAGACUCCGACGCGAGGCAGCAGAGGGGAAUAUUGCACAAUGGGCGCAAGCCGGAUGCAGCCAUGCCGCGUGUAGGAAGAAGGCCUGCGGUUUGUAAAGUACUUUCAGCGGGGAGGCGUUACCCGCAGAAGAAGCACCGGCUAACUCCGUGCCAGCCGCCGCGGUAAUUC
rnacentral:rRNA from 1 species